rnacentral:rRNA from 1 species
CCUUAGAGUUUGAUCCUGGCUCAGGAUGAACGCUAGCUACAGGCUUAACACAUGCAAGUCGAGGGGCAGCAUGGUCUUAGCUUGCUAAGGCCGAUGGCGACCGGCGCACGGGUGAGUAACACGUAUCCAACCUGCCGUCUACUCUUGGACAGCCUUCUGAAAGGAAGAUUAAUACAAGAUGGCAUCAUGAGUCCGCAUGUUCACAUGAUUAAAGGUAUUCCGGUAGACGAUGGGGAUGCGUUCCAUUAGAUAGUAGGCGGGGUAACGGCCCACCUAGUCUUCGAUGGAUAGGGGUUCUGAGAGGAAGGUCCCCCACAUUGGAACUGAGACACGGUCCAAACUCCUACGGGAGGCAGCAGUGAGGAAUAUUGGUCAAUGGGCGAGAGCCUGAACCAGCCAAGUAGCGUGAAGGAUGACUGCCCUAUGGGUUGUAAACUUCUUUUAUAAAGGAAUAAAGUCGGGUAUGCAUACCCGUUUGCAUGUACUUUAUGAAUAAGGAUCGGCUAACUCCGUGCCAGCAGCCGCGGUAAUACGGAGGAUCCGAGCGUUAUCUGGAUUUAUUGGGUUUAAAGGGAGCGUAGAUGGAUGUUUAAGUCAGUUGUGAAAGUUUGCGGCUCAACCGUAAAAUUGCAGUUGAUACUGGAUAUCUUGAGUGCAGUUGAGGCAGGCGGAAUUCAUGGUGUAGCGGUGAAAUGCUUAGAUAUCACGAAGAACUCCGAUUGCGAAGGCAGCCUGCUAAGCUGCAACUGACAUUGAGGCUCGAAAGUGUGGGUAUCAAACAGGAUUAGAUACCCUGGUAGUCCACACGGUAAACGAUGAAUACUCGCUGUUUGCGAUAUACAGCAAGCGGCCAAGCGAAAGCGUUAAGUAUUCCACCUGGGGAGUACGCCGGCAACGGUGAAACUCAAAGGAAUUGACGGGGGCCCGCACAAGCGGAGGAACAUGUGGUUUAAUUCGAUGAUACGCGAGGAACCUUACCCGGGCUUAAAUUGCAGAUGAAUUACGGUGAAAGCCGUAAGCCGCAAGGCAUCUGUGAAGGUGCUGCAUGGUUGUCGUCAGCUCGUGCCGUGAGGUGUCGGCUUAAGUGCCAUAACGAGCGCAACCCUUGUUGUCAGUUACUAACAGGUUCUGCUGAGGACUCUGACAAGACUGCCAUCGUAAGAUGUGAGGAAGGUGGGGAUGACGUCAAAUCAGCACGGCCCUUACGUCCGGGGCUACACACGUGUUACAAUGGGGGGUACAGAGGGCCGCUACCACGCGAGUGGAUGCCAAUCCCCAAAACCUCUCUCAGUUCGGACUGGAGUCUGCAACCCGACUCCACGAAGCUGGAUUCGCUAGUAAUCGCGCAUCAGCCACGGCGCGGUGAAUACGUUCCCGGGCCUUGCACUCACCGCCCGUCAAG